GUACGUUUAAUCAAAACUCCUACAAGAUUAAAAAGUAGUUAGUUGGGAAAGUCCCAAAGUCAAAACAGUUCACAAGUGGUUUAUAUAAAAUUCUCGGCAAUGAUCCUUCCGCAGGUUCACCUACGGAAA
rnacentral:misc_RNA from 1 species